rnacentral:lncRNA from 1 species
GACAACUUGGGCUUAGUAUUGCACCCAACGCAAGAAUAAAAAGGAAAAGGGGAGGGGAAUCAAUAACAGCGAUGUUUCAGGAAUAGAUGGUUAUUACUUUUCUACUGUAUGAAAUUCAAAAAUUGUAUUUAAUUUAAUUUUUGUGGUUGAUGAAAGAAUAAGUUACUACUUUAAGUCCUAAUUCAAUUCAGAAAUGUCAAAUUAUUAUUAGAGUAAACAUCAUCAUCCGAGAUUUUAU